rnacentral:rRNA from 1 species
CUACGGGGCGCAGCAGUGGGGAAUAUUGCACAAUGGGGGGAACCCUGAUGCAGCAACGCCGCGUGGAGGAUGACGCAUUUCGGUGUGUAAACUCCUUUUAUAUGUCAAGAAAAUGACGGUAGCAUAUGAAUAAGCACCGGCUAACUCCGUGCCAGCAGCCGCGGUAAUACGGAGGGUGCAAGCGUUACUCGGAAUCACUGGGCGUAAAGGACGCGUAGGCGGGGUGGAAAGUCAGGUGUGAAAUCCUACAGCUUAACUGUAGAACUGCACUUGAAACUUCUAAUCUAGAGUAUGGGAGGGGGAGAUGGAAUUAGUGGUGUAGGGGUAAAAUCCGUAGAUAUCACUAGGAAUACCUAAAGCGAAGGCGAUCUCCUGGAACAUUACUGACGCUAAGGCGUGAAAGCGUGGGGAGCAAACAGGAUUAGAUACCCCGGUAGUC